rnacentral:rRNA from 1 species
UACGGAGGGGGCAAGCGUUGUUCGGAAUUAUUGGGCGUAAAGGGCGCGUAGGCGGCCAUGCAAGUCGGUUGUGAAAUCCCUUGGCUCAACCAAGGAACUGCGUCCGAAACUGCAUGGCUAGAGUCCGGGAGAGGGUAGUGGAAUUCCCAGUGUAGCGGUGAAAUGCGUAGAUAUUGGGAGGAACACCGGUGGCGAAGGCGGCUACCUGGACCGGUACUGACACUGAGGUGCGAAAGCGUGGGGAGCAAACGGGAUUAGAAA